AAGAACAGGAGAGAAAACAAAGUUACAGAGUUUUGAUAUGAAAUGUCAUUAGGUUAAUUCGAGUCGUUUGAUUUUGAUUGUUUGGUCUAGCUAAGAAAAUUAAAAAAGGAAACAAACUAACAA